UUCACUAUUAAAGUCUCUCCAAUCCCUUAAAUGUGACAUGUGAGGGCGCAUACGUCGGGAGGGAAAGGAAUCUGUAAUGUCGGCUAAAUGUCUGUCAUGGUCUGACUUUUUGACACAAUUUGACAUCAUGUAUUUCGGUUUUUACUCGAAAAAGAGGCAAAAUUUCGAUACCGGUGCCAAAGUCACAACGCCAUGGGCGUGGAUGGUCUUCAAAGGGAUAUGCAGAAUUAUGAAGUUGCAUUCUGGAUCACGUUUAGUGCUUGCUGGGUAGCUUGAAGAAGUAGGAACAGGUAGCGGUGACUUGGAACCAUGGAGGAACAAAGUAGGAACAGAGCCGGGUUUAAGUCUUUUAUUUGAAUAAUAACAAUUUCUCUCAAGAGUGUUUACCACAAAUGUAUAAAUUAUUGGCAAUAUUAUCACCUGAAAUGGUUUUAAUGGCUAUACAUUCCCUUAGUGUUUGAAGGGAAUCUGUGCAUUAUUUUGUGGUCUCUAGGAUCCUUGAUUACCCCACAAACAGGCACAGAGCAAUAUUUUUUGGACAUUUUGAUAAUAUCAAUUCAAGCACAAACUGUUUUGGUGCGUGACAAAACGGAUUAAUUACAGGUUCCUUUAACUCCCGAAGGGGGUGACAUCUUUUGAUAUUUUCC